rnacentral:rRNA from 1 species
ACUCAAAUGAAUUGACGGGGACCUGCACAAGUGGUGGAGCGUGUGGUUUAAUUCGAUACUAAGCGAAGAACCUUACCCAGGCUUGACAUCCCGAGAAAGCUCUAGAAAUAGAGCCGUGCCGCAAGGAACUCGGUGACAGGUGUUGCAUGGUUGUCGUCAGCUCGUGCCGUGAGGUGUCCCGUUAAGUCGGUUAACGAGCGCAACCCGCAUCCUGUGUUGUAUUUUUCACAGGAAACUGCCUCAGUUAAUGGGGAGGAAGGUGCGGAUGAUGUCAAAUCAGCAUGGCCCUUACGCCUGGGGCUACACACGCGCUACAAUGGGUAGUAACAAUAGGUUGCCAAGCCGCAAGGCGGAGCUAAUCCUACCAAAUCUACCCUCAGUUCGGAUUGGAGGCUGCAACUCGCCUCCAUGAAGCCGGAAUCACUAGUAACGGCCGGUCAGCCACACGGCCGUGAAUACGUUCUCAGGUCUUGUACACACCGCCCGU